CCUCGAUAACCACUUCAGCGGUGCCAUGAACGGCAGCAACCGCCUCUUCUCGGCACACGCAGACCACAUGGCCGUCUUCCUCUCUGGCCUCUUCCACACCAACAGGUUCAGACCCUAUCCCUCUCCCUCUGCAUCUUUGUUUAAAUAUGGUAAGCAUUUCUUCAGAGUAUAACUCUGUUGACUUAGGUUCCUUCUGUAUUGGCCUGUGCAAAAUAGGGUGAAUGAAAUCAGAGUAUUGACCUGUAUUGCAUUUGUAGCUCAGGUCAACUAGGAGAUGAUGCAAGCCAAGGCGUUCACACUGAUUUAAUAUGGUACGUGCUGAACUUCCUUUGGUUUAUGAGACGAAAAGGAUGUUAUAUAUGCAUGCUACUACAGUUUAGGCAUUGAUGUUAUUUGAGCAUCUUUGGUCCUGAUGCCAUAUUUAUUGCAGUUACGAAAUUAUUAACAUUGUUUUUCAUUUUUUAUUUGUUGAUCUAAUUUAUUGAGACCAAAAUGAGAAACCAUCAUUUUAUUUUCAUUUCACGUUUGGAUGAUCAAGUGAAGACAAAUGAAUACACUGAUGGAAGGCCAUGUCAAAGAACUUUCUAUUUUGUAUUUUGUUUUUAUUCAGGAUCUACUAUAAUUUACCAGCAAGUGUUUAUUCCUGAAAUUGAUCGUAUGUGAUAUCUGAAAUGAAACAACACAAGGCCUUGUCUCUCUUUGUAUUUUGAGGUAAUGUCGACGAACCUCAUGUGAAAAAAAUAUAAUAAAAGGCAUUUCUCAGUUUUCUACAUGUGCCAUAGUACCGAGGUCUUUGAACAGGCACUUUGUGGUGGAAUGUCAAACAGAGGGCUGUUUGAUAGAAUAUGUGUUGUGUCAGAUACUGCAACAGGCAUACACAAAAUCACUUUGCUAUAUAUUUACAUAUACUACCUUUUUCUGGAUAUACUAUAACUAUUUGUUCUCUUUUGUAGUUUGCUCUAUGUUUGGUCAUAUUGUUCCUGGCGGUCCUGGAAGUAUCUUCAAGUUUUAAUAGAGGCAAUCCAUGGUCCUGAGAUCGACAAAGUUUGUGGUAAUGUUUCUUUUAGCUAUUACACUUGAGAAAAAUGUUUGGUGUUUUCAUGGAUCAUGACAAAACUGGUGUGCGCACAGGCAUCCUUCUUCCUUAUGUAUUGCGUCUAAUUGCCUCUGGUCAUAAAUAGCAAGACACUGAUGGAGGAGCCAUCCAGCUCAUGCUGCGAUUGUUCCAGCUUUCCGUACUAAGAAAUCACUGACUGCCAGGAAACGGAAGUGGACUGUGUGCCAGAGGUAUGAUCUAGCAAUUUCUCAUGUGGUUUCCUCUUUGCAGUGUGCUACUUCUUGUUUUCCGAUGUUGUGCACGUUCCAGUUUAGAGCUCAUGUACAUCCACUCUUUAUUUCUUAAUUAAGUUAGUGAUGCACACUCUACAAAUGAGAUCCUCUUCUGUUAUGAAGAAUUGUUAUGGGUCUCCGCUUCUUCAAGAGGCUAAUUGUUUUGAUAUAUCCAUAUGUAAUUACAUUUUGGAUUGUCAAAGUGCAAUGUGUAAAGUAUAGAAGGACCAUCUACAAACAUUAAAAAAUUGCAAUGUUUUGAUCUUGAGAAGAGCAUGC
rnacentral:lncRNA from 1 species